rnacentral:piRNA from 1 species
UGAGUAAAAAGCCCAUGAGGAUUGGCUGCC